CAGAUGACCCUGGCGGUAUCUUAACACAUGCAAGUCGAACGGGAUGCUUAGGCAUCUAGUGGCGGACGGGUGAGUAACGCGUGAGAAUCUGGCUCCAGGUCGGGGAUAACAGUUGGAAACGACUGCUAAUACCGGAUGUGCCGAGAGGUGAAAGAUUUAUUGCCUGGAGAUGAGCUCGCGUCUGAUUAGCUAGUUGGUGGUGUAAGGGACCACCAAGGCAUCGAUCAGUAGCUGGUCUGAGAGGAUGAUCAGCCACACUGGGACUGAGACACGGCCCAGACUCCUACGGGAGGCAGCAGUGGGGAAUUUUCCGCAAUGGGCGAAAGCCUGACGGAGCAAUACCGCGUGAGGGAGGAAGGCUCUUGGGUCGUAAACCUCUUUUCUCAAGGAAGAAGAAAGUGACGGUACUUGAGGAAUAAGCAUCGGCUAACUCCGUGCCAGCAGCCGCGGUAAUACGGAGGAUGCAAGCGUUAUCCGGAAUGAUUGGGCGUAAAGGGUCUGCAGGUGGAACUGAAAGUCUGCUGUUAAAGAGUUUGGCUUAACCAAAUAAAAGCGGUGGAAACUACAGAACUAGAGUGCGGUAGGGGCAAAAGGAAUUCCUGGUGUAGCGGUGAAAUGCGUAGAUAUCAGGAAGAACACCGGUGGCGAAAGCGUUUUGCUAGACCGUAACUGACACUGAGGGACGAAAGCUAGGGGAGCGAAUGGGAUUAGAUACCCCAGUAGUCCUAGCCGUAAACGAUGGAUACUAGGCGUGGCUUGUAUCGACCCGAGCCGUGCCGGAGCUAACGCGUUAAGUAUCCCGCCUGGGGAGUACGCACGCAAGUGUGAAACUUAAAGGAAUUGACGGGGGCCCGCACAAGCGGUGGAGUAUGUGGUUUAAUUCGAUGCAACGCGAAGAACCUUACCAAGACUUGACAUCCUGCGAAUCCUGGUGAAAGCUGGGAGUGCCUUAGGGAGCGCAGAGACAGGUGGUGCAUGGCUGUCGUCAGCUCGUGUCGUGAGAUGUUGGGUUAAGUCCCGCAACGAGCGCAACCCUCGUUUUUAGUUGCCAGCAUUAAGUUGGGCACUCUAGAGAGACUGCCGGUGACAAACCGGAGGAAGGUGAGGAUGACGUCAAGUCAGCAUGCCCCUUACGUCUUGGGCUACACACGUACUACAAUGCUACGGACAGAGGGCAGCGAGCCAGGGAUGGCAAGCGAAUCCAGAAACCGUAGCUCAGUUCAGAUCGAAGGCUGCAACUCGCCUUCGUGAAGGAGGAAUCGCUAGUAAUUGCAGGUCAGCAUACUGCAGUGAAUUCGUUCCCGGGCCUUGUACACCCGCCCGUCACACCAUGGAAGUUGGUCACGCCCGAAGUCAUUACCCCAACCGAAAGGAGGGGGAUGCCUAAGGUAGGACUGGUGACUGGGGUUGAAAGUUCGUAACAAAGGGUAGCCCGGGGUUAAUA
rnacentral:rRNA from 1 species